AGACAUUCUUCCAAGUUGCUUCCCUGGAAGAUAUUUCGUCCCAGCAAUCCCUCUCCAGUUCCAUGUGACCAUUCCUACUCUGAGCCAGUUUUGGAAAGGAAGUCAUCUCACAUGCCACCUUGGAAGGCAGAGCAACACAGAUAAUCAGGGAAGACAUUCUUCCAAGUAUCAAGAAAGGGAGCCCUUGCUUCCCUGGAAGACAUUUCGUCCCAGUAAUCACUCUCCAGUUCCAUGUGACCAUUCCUACUCUGAGCCAGUUUUGGACAGGAAGGU
rnacentral:lncRNA from 1 species